rnacentral:rRNA from 1 species
GAUGAACGCUGGCGGCGUGCCUAAUACAUGCAAGUCGAGCGAACAGACGAGGAGCUUGCUCCUCUGACGUUAGCGGCGGACGGGUGAGUAACACGUGGAUAACCUACCUAUAAGACUGGGAUAACUUCGGGAAACCGGAACUAAUACCGGAUAAUAUAUUGAACCGCAUGGUUCAAUAGUGAAAGACGGUUUUGCUGUCACUUAUAGAUGGAUCCGCGCCGCAUUAGCUAGUUGGUAAGGUAACGGCUUACCAAGGCGACGAUGCGUAGCCGACCUGAGAGGGUGAUCGGCCACACUGGAACUGAGACACGGUCCAGACUCCUACGGGAGGCAGCAGUAGGGAAUCUUCCGCAAUGGGCGAAAGCCUGACGGAGCAACGCCGCGUGAGUGAUGAAGGUCUUCAGAUCGUAAAACUCUGUUAUUAGGGAAGAACAAAUGUGUAAGUAACUAUGCACGUCUUGACGGUACCUAAUCAGAAAGCCACGGCUAACUACGUG